rnacentral:lncRNA from 1 species
AUUAAAAACUAAUAGACAAUAUAUUUUGUAAUACCCACCUUUACCAUUGUUAUUGUAACUGGAAUAAAAGAAUGCAAAUACAUUUACUCAGGUUUAUAAAGGUAUACAUUUUAAUUGAAUACUAUAUACGAGGUCUGGCUAUAAAUAACGAGACUGCUUAUGAAAAAUGGUUUUAUUUUAAAAAUUAUUCCACAACCAAAUGUUCCCCUUCAAUAUACUCUCCUCCCCUUUUCACACCGUUUCAUUCGUUUCUUCCAUUACUCGAGGCAGUGCUGGAAGUCUGUUUUCAUAAGACCAUUUAGGAGUUCCGCCGAUUUUUGUUUCACCUCUUCCAUCGACUCAAACCGGAUUCCUUUUANCACGCUUUAUCCUGGUGCAAGAUCCACGACUUGUUUUUCCACAAUAUCGACCGUUUCUUACAAACUCAUUCGCGCAAUGUUGCCAAAACUGUCAAAUAGUAAUGUUGGUUCACAGUUUGACCCUCUGGAACCCAUUCAGUCAUCACGAUGCCGUUGAUAUCGAAGAAAACGAUCAGCAUGGUUUUGAAUUUGGAUUACGACUGAAUUGGAUUCCGGUGCACUCUCGACCUUGAGAAAAUAAUUUAUGCCAUUCAAAAACACCCGCCCGAGAUAGGAAAUCUUCACUAUAGGCCUCUUUUAACAACUUAUAGCACUUAGUUGGAUUUUUUUUUAGUUUAACGAGAAAAUUUUACGUUUAUGUGUUGCUCAUGUUUUUCGUCACACAUCGUUUUCGGCAAGAGAAAAAAACAUGUUCGUUUCUAAACGCUACAGAAAAAAUACUAAUGCACCAACAAAAACCCAAUUUUGUACUGGCAUAAUAGACACUUCCAGCUAACCNCAACAAAAACCCAAUUUUGUACUGGAAUAAUAGACACUUCCAGCUAACCAGCGCUGUAUUCGGUUUUCCCCUAACCUUUUUGGGACGGCGCUCUGCGCGCGCAGUCUCGUUAUUUAAUAGCUAAACCUCAUAUGUACCUACUAUGGUAAAAAUAUUUGGUAUCCAAUUAAAAUAUAUAUAUAAAUUAAUUAGUUAUUUGUAUAUUUGUUUACUAAUAUUAACCAUUUAAUAAUUAUGUUUUUAUUUUAUUAAUAAAUAUAUAUUAUACCUAAAGAAUAAUACUUACAAUUUCAGUUUACAAUUAAUAAAUUUUAUUGUAAUUGUUACAUACUUGUUAGUCUUUCUUAUUGAUGUUAGUUGGUAGGCUUAGUCCCAGCAACCUGUACAAUAAGAGGCUUCUUGAAAAUAGCUUACUAAAAAAUUUAGAAUUAAGAAACUAUUAAUUUGUAUUAAAGUAUAAACUUAAUUUCGUUUAAAAAUACAUUGUAUGGAUUCUAUAUUAUUUAUACGACAAUGUAACAUUGAUUAUAUUGUUUAAUUUUAAUUAUAGAUUUAUGACAUUUUUAGACAAUUAGGUGUAUUAAUUAAUUUAGAUAAAAAAAAAAUUGAAAGUGAUUUUAUAAGGUUUUGGAGAUGAAAAUAUUCUUUAUUCUGAUGAUAUUGAAAUAAAAAUAACAAUUUGACUAGGUUUUCUGAUUAAUAUACAUUCUUUAAGUUGCUAAAUAAUGCUUCAAUAACUCACAUAUAUUCUAAACGCUCAUUUCAUAGUGUUUAUUUGUAUUACCUACUUUUCUAGUUUCUGGCAUAAGCCAGUGAAGCUCUUUCUAUAUUUGGUCCUUUUAGAUUCUAAGUGACAAGCAAGGAAUGUAUUGACUUUACAAUAUAUUUUUUCUUUUUUAUAACUACAAAAAUUGUGUUAGAAAUUUUUCUCAGAUUUUCAAGAGUAGCACAUUUUCUGAAAGUAAAUUUUUCUGGGGUGGCAGGAAAGUUAUGUUUUUGAAUUUUCCAGCAGUUUUCAUAGUAAGGAAAACCGGAGACAAAUGUGUGUAAAUAAUGCUUUUAUUAGGUAUUUUUUGUUGUAAUUCACAAAUACAAUUAUAAUCUUUAUAGAAACUUGAAAUUUGGACAAACAAUUUAUAAUAAAAUAAUAAAGUAAAAACAAAAUUGUUAAAAUGGUUUAUUCUUUUAAAUAAAUAUAUAAAUAAAAAUAUAUAUAUAUAUAUAAAAAUAAAAUACAAAAAUGAAAGAAUGUGUUACUUGGAGUAUUAUGGCAAAUGUAUUAUAUGACCAGUUUGGAAUUAAAAAUUCAUCAUCAGGUGUCAGUCAAAAUGUAAAAUGCAACACAUUCAUUUAUUUUUUAUUUUUAUAUAUACAUUUUUAUUUAUAUAUUGAUUUACUAUAUUAAAAAAACUUAUAUUUGCCUUUUAUAGAUGUGAUCAAAUUUUCAAAACAUUGAGCUAUUUUUGAGCAUUUAAAUUGACUUACCUUGUUAUAGUAACUGAAUGCUGUUGGUUGUAUUCUUUCUUCCAUCCAAUUGGCUCUGUUUAUUAUUUAUCC